rnacentral:lncRNA from 1 species
ACUAACCUCAAUAUAAAUCCGAAGGAUCAACCCGAAGUUAACGACAAUAGUCAAGAAAUCAGUCGAAACGUGCAAAUACAAGAGAGCAGUGCCCUAAUUAUAGAUGCUCCUACAUCUAUAUAUAAUAAAGGUUGGUUUAUUAAGAUUACGUAAGAAAAAUAUUUCGAAUUAUUGAUUCACAGCCAGAAAUGGCUUGAAUCCAAUAGUUCAUUAUUUAAUGGAUUUUUUCAUUUUAAUACUCUAUCUGAGAGUUAUCAAUAUUUAUCAAAUUUGUUCUUAUCUAACAGAAAGCAAUUAGAUCAAAUAAAAACACAAUCAAGUUACUUAUGCAAUUUUUUUACUCAGAGAGAUAAUCUAUUUUUUUAAACAUCCUACAAAUAGUUAUUUAAGUCCCAUCUCACACACUUACAAUCAAGAUCUCUCUCUAUUAAUCUUAAACAUCAUACAAAUAGUGAUUUAAAUCUCAUUAUACACACUUAAAAUCUCUUUUUACAAAACGUGUUUUUUCAAGUCCCGAUUAGCUACUCUCUAAUAAUGGAUCGGAUGAUAUGGCAUUUUAGUUCGGAUGGAAGAUAUAGUGUAAGGUCGGCAUAUUGUGUUGCUCUUGAUAUGUGGUUGGCUCAAUCAUUAUUGGUUGUCUGAAGCACUUUUAACCGUCAUAGGUUCGUUUGAAUAAGAAGGGUAUUUCGCUAUUUUCCUCAUGUAACCGAUGUGGUGAGGCUGAGAGUAUGGAUCACAUUUUGCUCUUUGUCUAUAUGCGCAAGCAAUUUGGAGUGCUGCUGGUUUUUCAUUCAGUCAAUCAAUAAUGAUUGACAUAUUUUGCAAGCUUCUUGACUUGGCAAUUCCUAAGCAUCUACAACAUGUAUUGGUGCUUGUUAGAUGAUAUGGUCUAAUCGAAAUUACUUUGUUUGGAAAAGGGAAGAUGUUGUUGCAUCAAUCAUUCAGGUUGCUGAUGCUUUUUGGAUCCAUUUGCAACAGUUGAUGGAGGUGUUUGCUGCGGCUAAUGCGAGUGGUGACCAAGAUGGAGUGACUCGCUGUUGAGGAAGGGCUGGUUAGGCACCUCCGGAAGGUGGCCUGCUAAAAUGUAAUAUGGAUUCUACCUGUUUCAAGUAAGAGGGGGCUACAGGGUAUGCGAUCGUAGUUUGGGACUCUUCGAGCUGUGUGCUUAAAAGUUUUUCUGGUUUUAUUUAUGUUUGUUUUAAUGAGGCAUUGUCAUGGUUAAAAUCUUUGGCUUUCAAUAAUGUAAUAGUUGAGUUGGAUUGUUUGCUUGUAAUUUCGGCUUUGUCACGUCCGUCAUUUGAUUUUUCUAAACUAGAUAUGUUGUUUCGUGAUUGUUUACUAAUGAAGAAUCAAUUUCAGCACCUAUCUUUUUGUUGGACUCGUUAGUGUACCAACAAGGUGGCUCAUUCCUUAACUCGAGUGGCUUUGUUAUAUGCAAACCACAUUGAAUGGGAUGGUUUUUUCAUGUUUCUUUUAAUGAGAAUCUUUUGUCUGUAACUAAAGAUGGUGUGGUUGGG